rnacentral:lncRNA from 1 species
CGUAACUGUCUAAUAUCCCAGAUGAUUGGCCCUUUCAAUUAAAACAACAUUAUGCAAAAAAUAAUGAAUCCCGUCUUAAAAAAGCAGCCCACGUGUGCUUAAUUACUUAAUGUAAUAUACAUUUCAAUAACAAAGUCAUUAGAGUGCACUGUAGGAUGCCCUGUAACAGGUGAACCCUAAUCCAGUUGCUUCACAGCAUAAUGGCAUUACUUUUUUUUUUUUUUCCGCCAUCACGAAACCAAAGCCUCCUUGUGACAAUAAAAUCAUGAGAAAAAUGUCCGUAACAGGAGUAAAUCAAGGCCAGGCCGUGCGUCCCACACGUGUGAGAUGUGUGCCGGGGAGAGGGGAAGGGCCGCACGGUGGCUGGCCGUGCAGGCCGGGUGCAGGCCGGGCUUGCUCUGUGGAAACACACGGGUGCACCAAUGGUUUGUGUACCACACGAGAGGAAAGCAAGUGCCGGCCCUUGGGGGACGUCACUCGCCGGGCCGGGUUUCACGCUCCCAGGAUCCGGGGGCACCGGGCAGAUUCAUGUGCCGCGCAGUUUAUUUAAUUAAUACAUUCAGCCGCCUCCGCUGGUUUUUAAUGAUUUCCAGGUGUUUGCACCCAGAAGUCACAAAGCGCUGCUGGGCGCACGGGGCAAUGAUUGAAGGGCCUCGGAGUGCACCAGACACCCCCCGGCCCUGCCAGCGAUGGGCUAAUGAUGCUGGGCUAAAAACGCCCUGGUUUGGGCUCGUGGCACGGGCACGGAGGAUGAGGACGCCCAGCCAGUGCGGGGCGGCGAUAGAGCAAGGAAGGACUGGAAGGAUGAAGGCCGAGGGCAGACGGGCUGCUCCUGCUCAGCGCUUUGUUGGGUGCCCUGUGUAGGAGACGACGUCUCCAUGGGAUAACCCAAGACAUCCCCGGAGGUGCUCUGAGCUCACCCUGGCCCUGCCCGCGGUGUGGGUUUCACCGGUAGAGGAGAGAGGUGGAGGAACGGAGCCUUCCUCUUUAAGCCCAAACCAGUUUUUAUUUAAGCUCACUCAUUUUUAUUUUCUGGGUAGCGCUUAUGUCCUACGUCCCUCUCAGUGAAACUCAGGAGCCAUCAGUUUGAAGAAGGGUUUUAGGCAGUUACACCUUCUGCAUCGGGAGGCAAAAGUAGAUCCCCAGCGAGCUCCCAGUGCACCUAAACACAGCGUUGCUGCUUGGGAAACCACACGAUGGAGGCGACGUGCUGCUAUAGGGACGAUCGUGUGUGUUUCCGGCGGCUCCUUUCCACACCACAGCCAGUUCUGGGGGCUCCCUUUGCUGGGAGAGGAAGGGAUUUUGUUCUUGUCCCCCUCGUCCCCAAGCACCUUUUCACCCCAAAAGUGACUGCCCCAACGCUGGGACUAAGCUGACAUCCCCCGAGUUUAGUCUUGCUCCUAUUCCACUGGGGGAAAAAAAAAAAAAGAAGAGGUGUGUGGGGGUGUUUUUGAAGAAGCAAACCAGAAUUUUAGAAAUGAAAACGUAUGGCAGAGCUCUGAUGAACCCUGGAGCACUUGCAAAGGGGGCGUGCACCUGGGUCACCCCAUUGCACCCCACAAACUCGGCUGGCUCCGGGGGGCCCACUGCCCAGCCCACCCCAAUUUUUGGCAGAGACCAGGGCAGUUGCCAGUCCCCCCUGUGCCGGAGGAGCCCCCAGCUCCUGACAGGCGGCAUGCCAGCCAAAAAAAGCAGCAAACAAAGUUAUGAAAAUUAGAUAUUUUAUUUAUAUUUUAUGACAAGAACAGUCCCUUUGUUCUUCAGCUGUAAAUACAUACUAGAAUAAACUCUGUAAAUUAUACA